GUUUCCCCGCCUCUUCCAGGCUCCUUGAGUUGCGGCCCUUUUUACGACGCCCUGCCUCCGAUUCCGCCGGACCUUUGCAGCGGUGCGCGGGGUUCCUGCCCGGAAGAGGCGGCUGAGGCACCCGCGCGCGGACAACAUGGCGCGGUCCAGGAGUAAGGCAGCUAUUGUGCUCUGUAUGGAUGUGGGGUCUGCCAUGAGUAACUCCCUUCCUGGCGAAGAAUCUCCAUUUGAACUAGCGAAGAAGUUGAUGACCAUGUUUGUGCAGCGACAGGUGUUUGCUGAGAGCAAGGAUGAAAUUGCAUUAGUCCUUUUUGGUACAGAUGGUACUGAGAAUGCCCUUGCUGGUAAGGAUCAGUAUCAGAACAUCACAGUCCACAGACACCUGAUGCUACCAGAUUUUGACCUGCUGGAGGACAUCGAAAGCAAAAUCCAACCAGGCUCUCAACAAGCUGACUUCCUGGAUGCACUCGUUGUGUGCAUGGAUGUGAUUCAACAAGAAACUGUCGGAAAGAAGUUUGGAAAGAGGCAUAUUGAAGUGUUCACUGACCUCAGCAGCCCAUUCAGCCAAGAUCAGCUGGAUAUUAUAAUCCAUAACUUGGAGAAAUCUGGCAUCUCCCUGCAGUUCUUUUUGCCAUUCCCUGUUGGCAAGGAGGAUGGAACUGGGGACAGAGGAGAUGGUAACUCCUGCUUGGACCAGCAUGGACCCUCCUUUCCUCUAAAAGGAAUUACUGAGCAGCAGAAAGAAGGUAUUCGGAUGGUGAAAAAGGUGAUGAUGUCUUUAGAAGGUGAAGAUGGGCUGGAUGAAAUUUAUUCCUUCAGUGAGAGUCUGAGACAACUGUGUGUCUUUAAGAAAACUGAGAGGUAUUCCGUCCCUUGGCUCUGCACACUGACCAUUGGCUCCAAUUUGGCUAUAAAAAUUGUGGCUUACAAAGCGAUUAUGCAGGAGAAAGUUAAAAAGUCUUGGACAGUUGUGGAUGCAAGAACCCUAAAAAAAGAAGAUAUACAAAAAGAAACAGUUUAUUGCUUACAGGACGACGACGAAACGGAGGUUCCAAAAGAGGACACUAUUCAAGGGUUCCGCUAUGGAAGUGAUAUAGUUCCUUUCUCUAAAGUGGAUGAAGAACAAAUGAAAUAUAAAUCAGAGGGGAAGUGCUUCUCUGUUUUGGGAUUUUGUAGAUCUUCUCAGGUCCACAGAAGAUAUUUUGUGGGAAAUCAAGUCCUAAAGGUCUUUGCAGCAAAAGAUGAUGAGGCAGCAGCAGUGGCACUUUCCUCCCUGAUUCAUGCUUUGGAUGAAUUAGACAUGGUGGCUGUGGUUCGAUAUGCUUAUGCCGGAAGAACUAAUCCUCAAGUUGGCAUGGCUUUUCCUUAUAUCAAGGAUGCCUAUGAGUGUUUAAUGUACGUGCAGCUGCCUUUUAUGGAAGACUUGCGACAAUAUAUGUUUUCAUCCUUGAAAAAUAGUAAGAAAUGCACUCCCACAGAGGCUCAGUUGAGUGCUGUUGAUGCUUUGAUUGACUCCAUGAGCUUGGUAAAGAAAGAUGAAAAGGAAGACACCAUUGAAGACUUGUUUCCAACCACCAAAAUCCCAAACCCUCAACAUCAGAGGUUGUAUCAGUGUCUGGCGCACAGAGCUUUACAUCCCCAAGAGCCUCUGCCCCCAAUUCAGCAGCAUAUUUUGAAUAUGCUGGAUCCCCCUGCUGAGGUGACAGCUAAAUGUCAGAUUCCUCUCUCUAAAAUAAAGACCGUUUUCCCUCUGACUGAAGCCACCAAGAAAAAGGAUCAAGUGCCUGCUCAGAACAUUUUCCCAGACAACCAUGAAGAGGGACCCGCCUCUAAAAAACUGAAGACUCAGGAAGGGGAAGCAUGCUUUAGCGUCUCCAGCCUGGCUGAAGGCAGUGUCACCAGAGUCGGAAGUGUGAAUCCUGCUGAGAACUUCCGUGUUCUAGUGAGGCAGAAGAAAGCCAGCUUUGAGGAAGCGAGUCGCCAGCUAAUAAAUCAGAUCGAGCAGUUUUUGGAUACUAAUGAAACACCGUAUUUUAUGAAGAGCAUGGACUGCAUCACAGUGUUCCGGGAAGAAGCCAUUCAGGUUUCGGAAGAGCAGUGCUUUAACAAUUUCCUGAAAGCCCUUCGAGAGAAAGUGGAAAUUAAACAAUUAAAGCAUUUCUGGGACAUUGUCGUUCAGGAUGGAAUUACUCUGAUCACCAAAGAUGAAGCCCCCGGAAGUUCCAUCACAGCUGAAGAAGCCAAAAAGUAGACAUGAAGAUGUGAGGCAACUAAAGAAAUGGAUGCUUCUUCUUCUGGACCCAAAGAACUUUGGGUCCCAUGUUUUAGAGGCAACUUGCCAGUAAACGUGCAUCGGACAUGCAGAGUAUCUACCACUUUCUAGCCUUGUGGAUUUAGAUGAACAAGAUGCUGGAGCCAAAAGGAGCUCUGGAUGCCAGCUGAUCCUGCAGAUGUGGUGACAAGCCUCCACUCCUGCCUCCUCUCCCCCUGCCAGGAGCCUUCAGCAGUGCCAGUGGGGGAAUGCUCCCUGCCUGCAGGGCCGUCCACUGUCACACAGCUGUGGGCCAGGACUUACACGGAAGGCCACCACUGCCAAACUCCUCUUCCAGACAUUACCCCUCGAGAGCCCAGCCCUGUCAGAAUCUGCACUAAAGAACCUGUUGGGCAAGUGUGGGAAAGAUCAGUCUAACCAGCUAGGGUUUUGUUUUUUGUUUUUUUUGUUUUUUUUUUUUUUGCAGGGGAGUGGGGUGGUUAGGAAGUGGCAUUGUGAGGUGACAUUGGCAGUGCCUCCACCUCCCCAGUAUUCAUGGUGACAGCGUUGUGCUUCUCAGAAGUGUAACCAGAAUGUUCUUCUGGGAGUCUCCCUAUGGAUGAUGAGAUGUGGAUCCAGGGGCCUCAUUUGGGCAGGCUCCCCUUGACUCAAAUGCUUUGGGUCCUGGUUUGGCCUACUCUUUCAGCAAUAAAGACCCAAAGGACAGAAGAUACUGAAAGCCUUCAAUGAGGGUGAAGCAAAAUCACCUUCCCCUUCCGUUUCCAUCCUGUUGAUGCCUUGUCAGUGUCCGGGGAGAGGCUGUCCCCUUGGCAGUGACUUCUAUUACAGUUCCCUUCCUAGCAGGGUCCUUGCUGGACUGGUUGACCUUGGUCACGCCGUACAGAAUGUGUCUAAACCCAUCAGGGCCAGAACCUUGCUGGUCCCUCUGCCCACCCAGGGCAUUGCAGAGACCUGUGAGAAGACCUCAGCUAGAAAAUCAUGAAGAGCACUGACGCUCCUUGAAAUGAAUGUGCUUAACUCGGUAGGACUGGGCAGGGAAGAGAGAUAUCCUCGGAGCCCCAAAUAUCCCUGCAUUGGUAUAUGUGAGGGGUCCAUGCCUGCAACUGUGUGUGUGAAGCUGAUUCCCAAGAUACUGUAGCUUUUGCCUAUGAGACUUCUCUGCAAAGCUCAGGGCUCUCACUAUCUGGACUGAAACUGCCAGAAUUGCAUUGCUCAGUCACUCUAGGUGAUGGUGAUGAAGGUCACAGUGACGAUGCUGAUGAUGGCAAUGGUGACAAUAGCAAGUACUUAUGGAAUGCUUGCUAUGUUCUGUCACUCCAGCAGGGCUUUGCAAAAAAUACAAAUAAAUAAAUAAAUA